UCAGUUGGCCAUGAAGUUAAGACAGUGUCAUUUGGCUCAAGUUUUAAUAAGAAUAUUCAACAAUUGAGAACAAUGUUAUUGUCAACGCGAAUUCAUUUUGCUUCAAAAUAGAACGUUAUACAUGAUGUAUCAAGUCAGUUACGUUUCUAUUCUAAGAAUCCCGAUGAGGUAGAACAGUGGAUAUCUGCGCUGGAUGUGGCGCAACAAAAACGUAUUAGGUUCUUUCAAAAUGAAGUUACCUUGAAACGUGAUCAAGGUGAAAGUGUGCCAACAGAUAGAAGUAGAACAACUCACCAUUGAACAAUACCAACAUCUUAUGAAUUCAGCAAAUGAUCAACGUAUAAAAUAUUACAACUAUUUAAAUAAAACGGAAAGGUCAAACGCCAACACUCCA